UUAAGGAAGGGAGUAAAAUAACAACAAUACUGGUAUAGGCAAGUGGCAAUUGGACAAGUUGGAGAAAAAUCUCCUUCCAAGGCCAUGAUUUAUGCAAGGGUCCUACUAUUUCUGUUUUCAUUAUCACCUAUGGAUUAAAAAAUUAUAUUAUGAGUGAUUGAAAGAGAUUUGUAGUUUGGAACCAUUGAUGCUACUUCUUCCCUUCUACUACUGGAAUGAUCUGGAGUCUGGACCCUUCCUGUAUAGGCUGCAUUUGACAGUGGACCCGGCAUGGAGCUUCAAAAUAUCUGCUCCUCAUGUUAAGCAUACAAUAUUUGUUUCUAUACAUGCUGAAAUUUCAGCAUAAGCCCGAAAACGAUGGGUCCAAAAAUGUAUCAUCUUCAAAGUCAUUGGUGUUAAAGACGUCAUUUUGACAUAAAGAAAACAAGUAUGGAAUAAGGGAUUCGGGAUGUCAUUUGGGUGGUCGGUCUGAUGAGUACUCGAUGUAACAUAUAGAUCGAUGAUUAUUAUCAGUAUACGCAAUCCCGUACCCAUACAGGUUCUGUUUUGCCAGAUAUCCGCUUAUGGCUCCAGACCUCACUCCUGUCGAUUGUCAUCAUCAUUAUUAGCCGUCCAAAUAAUUAGAUCAAUCAUGUAAUUAGAUGCUUUACACAAAAAGAAUAUCAUGAUUUGGUAAUGUAAAUUAUUGAACAGAACAAGAUUCUAUAGUGGUUACACUUUUCUCAAACUGUUUUGAAGGCAAAAAGAGAGUACCCAGAAAGUGAGUGACAGCGUUCAUGUAGGAGGAGUUGACAAUAGGGCCGAUGUCUGGAUCAGGAGCCCGAUAGCAAUCACAGAGGAGAAAAGUGGCGACCAGGGUUACGCCUGCAAACAGUAACAAAGCAAUAGGACCUGCCACCCAUCCCAGCUGUGCUACGUUCCAUCCUAACGACAGCACACCAGCUCCUAUCACCCCUGUUAUUAUGUGCGCUAUUCCUGUCCUUAUGGUUCCUGUUUCAUUACCCACUAUUCAAACUUUCUUUUUCGAAUUGACUCGAAACAUGUUGAGAUUAACGUUUUGGCAUUGUUGUGACUCGAUACAUGAAAAAACAACUAAUAAAAUUCAGGAAAAAUUACCUAAAAUAACAUGAUUUUUCUACAAUAAUCCCACCUAUUGAUUAACCAUGAAUAAUCCCACGGGUAUUUGCCAAGAGUAAACUUGGAUAACCGAUGACCAGCUAUAGUGGGUAAUUCACCAAAAUGGUAAACUAAAAAUUAAUUUAAAAUUAGAGAAAAAUUUUAAAAAUUUACAUAAAAGAUUCUAAAUAAUAAAAAAAAUCAUAAAAUUUUUUUAAACAUUUUUUUCGAUAUUUUAUUUUAAUUUAUCUUUUUU